rnacentral:rRNA from 1 species
UAUGCUUCUCCUAAAGACUAAGCCAUGCAUGCCUCCGAUACCAGUUAGCAAUUAUCUCUGAAUCUGCGAACGGCUCCGCAAACCAGUUGUAAACCAUAGCAAGGAAGCCCGGGGUCCCGCCCUCGCCGGGGCGGUCUCCGGGCACACGGAUAUCCAUGGUAAUUCUGAGGCUAAUACGAGAACGUACCCCCCUGACCCACAAGCCGGCAACGGCGGGUCGGGAGGUGUGCGCUCUAGUCGCGAUAUAGAUGAUUCGGGAAUGAGCGCACGUCUGGACCGCGACAAAAGACAGAUGGGACCCCCACGGGGCCCCCCUUCCCUCGCGGGGGGGGGGUCCGGGGGACCUGCCUGAGCGGCACUUGGUGUGUGCUUCUGACCUAUCAACUAGAUGGCAGCGUAAGGGACAUGCUAUGGUUGCAACGGGUACAGAGGAUUAGGGUUCGAUCCUGGAGAGUGGGCCUGAGAGAUUGCUCAUACUUCUAAGGAAGGCAGCAGGCGCGCAAAGUUCCCCUUGGGCAAAGCCCGAGGGCGUUAGGGGACAUAUGAAUGUUUGCCUUCUAGGUGGACAAUUCAAAUGGGUCUGUUGUAAACAGUCUCUCGAGUAACAAUUAGAGGA